GCUAUAGCUCAGUCAGUAAAGCAUGAGACUGUUAAUCUCAGGGUUGUGGGUUCAAGUCCCCCAUUGGGCA